CCCAAGGGACGCAGGGGGAGGGGCGCGGAGGCGGCUGCCCCUAGAUCCACGCAGCGCUCGGGAGCGCGUCCCGCACUUGGCGCCUGCCCGCGCGCAGAUCCAGGCCGUGCACUUAGCGAGACACGUGGCCAUCAAGAAUCAUGAGCAACCCAUUUGCACACCUGGUGGAGCCUUUAGAUCCUGCACAACCAGGAAAGAAAUUCUUCAAUUUGAACAAACUGAAGGAUUCAAGAUAUGAACGCUUACCAUUUUCUAUCAGAGUUCUCCUGGAGGCAGCCAUUCGGAACUGUGAUCAAUUUUUGGUGAAGAAAAAUGACAUUGAAAAUAUCCUAAAUUGGAAUGUCAUGCAGCAUAAGAACAUAGAAGUGCCAUUUAAGCCUGCCCGCGUCAUCCUGCAGGACUUUACGGGUGUGCCAGCUGUGGUUGACUUCGCGGCAAUGCGUGAUGCUGUGAAAAAGUUAGGAGGGGAUCCAGAGAAAAUAAACCCUGUUUGUCCUGCUGAUCUUGUAAUUGAUCAUUCCAUCCAGGUUGAUUUCAACAGAAGGGCAGACAGUUUACAGAAGAAUCAAGACCUGGAAUUUGAAAGAAAUAGAGAACGGUUUGAAUUUUUAAAGUGGGGUUCUCAGGCUUUUCGCAACAUGCGGAUUAUACCCCCCGGCUCAGGAAUCAUCCACCAGGUGAAUCUGGAGUAUUUGGCAAGAGUGGUAUUUGAUCACGAUGGCUAUUAUUACCCUGACAGCCUUGUGGGCACAGAUUCGCACACUACCAUGAUUGAUGGUUUGGGAGUUCUCGGCUGGGGAGUGGGUGGUAUCGAAGCAGAGGCAGUCAUGCUGGGUCAGCCGAUCAGCAUGGUGCUUCCCCAGGUGAUCGGCUACAGGCUGAUGGGAAAUCCCCACCCUCUGGUGACAUCCACGGACAUCGUGCUCACCAUUACCAAGCACCUGCGCCAGGUUGGGGUAGUGGGCAAAUUUGUCGAGUUCUUCGGGCCGGGAGUAGCCCAGCUGUCCAUUGCCGACCGAGCUACGAUCGCGAACAUGUGUCCAGAGUACGGGGCGACGGCUGCAUUUUUCCCGGUUGACGAAGUCAGCAUCAAGUACCUGGUGCAGACGGGUCGGGAUGAAGAAAAAGUAAAGCAAAUGAAAAAGUAUCUUCAAGCUGUAGGAAUGUUCCGGGAUUUCAGUGACCUCUCUCAAGACCCUGACUUUGCCCAGGUUGUGGAAUUGAAUUUGAGAACAGUCGUGCCUUGCUGCAGUGGACCAAAAAGGCCCCAGGACAAAGUCGCUGUGACCGACUUGAAAAAGGACUUUGAGAGCUGCCUUGGAGCCAAGCAAGGGUUUAAAGGAUUCCAGGUUGCUCUGGACCAUCAUAAUGACCAUAAGACGUUUAUCUAUAAUAAUAGUGAAUUCACCCUUACUCAUGGUUCUGUGGUCAUCGCGGCCAUUACCAGCUGCACUAACACCAGUAACCCAUCAGUGAUGUUGGGGGCAGGAUUGUUAGCAAAGAAAGCUGUGAACGCCGGCCUGUCCGUGAAGCCUUACAUCAAAACUAGCCUGUCUCCUGGAAGCGGCGUGGUCACCUACUACCUGCGAGAGAGUGGCGUCAUGCCUUAUCUGUCACAGCUUGGGUUUGAUGUGGUGGGUUACGGGUGCAUGACCUGCAUUGGCAACAGUGGACCCUUACCCGAGCCUGUGGUGGAAGCCAUCACGGAGGGAAACCUUGUAGCAGUUGGAGUACUCUCUGGGAACAGGAAUUUUGAAGGUCGAGUCCACCCCAAUACCCGGGCCAACUACUUAGCCUCUCCACCCUUAGUGAUAGCAUAUGCAAUUGCCGGGACCAUCCGGAUCAACUUUGAGAAAGAGCCACUGGGGGUAAAUGCAAAGGGACAACAAGUGUUUCUGAAAGACAUCUGGCCAACCAGAGACGAGAUCCAGGUGGUGGAGCGUCAGUACGUAAUCCCUGGGAUGUUUAAGGAGGUCUACCAGAAAAUAGAGACUGUGAAUGAGAGCUGGAAUGCCUUAGCAGCCCCCUCGGAUAAGCUGUAUUGCUGGAAUCCCAAAUCGACCUACAUUAAGUCACCACCGUUCUUUGAAAAUCUGACUUUAGAUAUCCAGCCGCCUAAGUCUAUAGUGGAUGCGUACGUGCUGUUAAAUUUGGGAGAUUCGGUAACAACUGACCACAUCUCUCCAGCUGGAAACAUUGCAAGAAACAGCCCUGCUGCCCGUUACUUAACUAACAGAGGCUUGACUCCACGAGAAUUCAACUCCUACGGCUCCCGCCGAGGUAAUGAUGCCAUCAUGGCCCGGGGGACAUUUGCCAACAUUCGCUUGUUAAACAAAUUUUUGAACAAGCAGGCACCACAGACUAUACAUCUGCCUUCUGGAGAAAUUCUUGACGUGUUCGAUGCCGCAGAGCAGUACCGGCAGGCAGGCCUUCCCCUCAUCGUGCUGGCUGGCAAAGAGUAUGGUUCGGGCAGCUCCCGGGACUGGGCAGCCAAGGGCCCUUUCCUCCUGGGAAUCAAAGCCGUCCUGGCGGAGAGUUACGAGCGCAUUCACCGCAGUAACUUGGUGGGAAUGGGGGUGAUUCCCCUUGAAUAUCUCCCUGGGGAGACUGCAGACACCCUGGGACUCACAGGGCAAGAACGAUACACGAUCAUCAUUCCAGAGAACCUCAAACCACGAAUGAAAGUGCAGGUCAAGCUGGACACCGGGAAGACCUUCCAGGCCGUCAUGAGGUUUGACACCGACGUGGAGCUUGCUUAUUUCCACAACGGGGGCAUCCUCAACUACAUGAUCCGCAAGAUGGCCAAGUAGGUCACCUGCACUUGGAGCUGCACCAGAAGGGAACAAAGUGCCACCAACCAGCUGGGCCCUUGGUGCAGAGAACCCCCCUCCACGCGUGGGCCUCCCCGCAGGGGUGCUGCCUGGCACACAGGCGUACGAACACGGAUGUGUUCUGGUGCCAUCCCUCCAGGCACAAAACGAGCAGUUUCUACCUUCUCUAUUCUUGUGAAUCUUUGGCCCUUUUUCUAGAAUUUGGAAGCAAGAGUGGUGGCGAUGUCAGUAGUGCCAGAAAGGGAGAACUAAGCUUCUCUUUAAAGUAACUUAUCACAGGAUGUUGAUGUUUUUCACUCUCAGCCUGUUAUUGUUCGGCUGGACACAGUAAGUCUUCUCAGAAGGCGUCGCCUGUCCUCUUUCCUGUUGGGUUCUGUUCUCCUCUGCUCCAUGAAACCUUUUCCAUGAGGCUCACUGGUCUUUGCAUAGUGUGCUGGCAUUGCCUGACAUGGGUCGGUAAGAACUCUCUCACACUUGAGAUCACAGUGGUGAUUGUGACUCCCCUGCGCCCUUCCUCCUUCAGAGCGAAUGAUCCAGACACCUUGGAUCAGACACUGACAUUUUUUUAUUAUGUACCUUUAGGUGGAUCAACACUAAAGAAAUUGUGACAUUUUUCUUUUACUACCUUCAAAAAUUUUCCCCAGAAAAUUUCUCACUUGUCAAGGGGAGGACUUUGGAGGUGGUUUUGGAGAGAGACUUAGAACAUUGGUAAUUUGAAUAAGAUUAAAUCUAUUUUCAAGGAAAACUUUUUGACUUUGCAAUUGAUUUCUAUUGUAUGUGAGGCUCUAGUCUGGGCAUAUUUAGAGCAGAGUGAGUCUCAGGCUGCCAGCAUCUUGAAGCCUGGGUGACAUUUAAUUUCUCCUGCUUUUACAACCCUAUCCGUACUAUAUACAGGGGAAAUGGAAGAGUUGGGGAGCCAGGAUUUUGCUGCCCUGGUUGGGAGCAGACAAGGUAGUAGCCGCAAUAAUGUGAGAAACCCAUCACCACGUCAGCACUGGCAGGAGCCAAAGAGAAUCCAGGUCCUGUGGGUGCAUAGCAGAUUGUGUCUGAACCACCUGAUGAACUUCAGAAAGUACACAUGGCUGGACGCCCUCCUGGGGCAUCCUCAUGGGGGUGGGGCAUAGACCCAUGAAACAGACUCCCCAGUGGGUUUGGGCAUACAGCCUUUGACCUAGAAAUCCAAUGACCAGCAUUUGGGCAUCAGUCAAGAGUUUGCAGUUUUUUAAAUCCUAAACUGCCACUUUUUUUCAUUCAAUAAAUAGUAACUGAGUACCCUG